AGGACGAACGCUGGCGGCGUGCCUAACACAUGCAAGUCGAACGGAACUAUUUGACUGAUCCUCGGGAUGAAGAAUUUUAGUUAGUGGCGGACGGGUGAGUAACGCGUGAGUAACCUGCCUCUGAGAGGGGAAUAACGUUCUGAAAAGAACGCUAAUACCGCAUAACACAUAUUUGCCGCAUGACAGAUAUGUCAAAGAUUUUAUCGCUCGGAGAUGGACUCGCGUCCGAUUAGUUAGUUGGUGAGGUAACGGCUCACCAAGACCCGCGAUCGGUAGCCGGACUGAGAGGUUGAACGGCCACAUUGGGACUGAGACACGGCCCAGACUCCUACGGGAGGCAGCAGUGGGGGAUAUUGCGCAAUGGGGGCAACCCUGACGCCAGCAACGCCGCGUGAAGGAUGAAGGUUUUCGGAUUGUAAACUUCUUUUAUCAGGGACGAACUCUGACGGUACCUGAUGAAUAAGCUCCGGCUAACUACGUGCCAGCAGCCGC
rnacentral:rRNA from 1 species